rnacentral:rRNA from 1 species
UACGUAGGAUGCGAGCGUUGUCCGGAAUUAUUGGGCGUAAAGAGAACGUAGGCGGCCUUUUAAGUCAGCGGUGAAAUCCUCCAGCUUAACUGGAGAACUGCCAUUGAUACUGGAAGACUUGAGUACAGACGAGGUAGGCGGAAUUGACAGUGUAGCGGUGAAAUGCAUAGAUAUUGUCAAGAACACCGAUUGCGAAGGCAGCUUACUAGACUGUAACUGACGCUGAGGCACGAAAGUGUGGGGAUCAAACAGG